rnacentral:rRNA from 1 species
UACGAAGGGGGCUAGCGUUGCUCGGAAUCACUGGGCGUAAAGCGCACGUAGGCGGGUUCUUAAGUCAGGGGUGAAAUCCUGGAGCUCAACUCCAGAACUGCCUUUGAUACUGGGAAUCUUGAGUCCGGGAGAGGUGAGUGGAACUGCGAGUGUAGAGGUGAAAUUCGUAGAUAUUCGCAAGAACACCAGUGGCGAAGGCGGCUCACUGGCCCGGUACUGACGCUGAGGUGCGAAAGCGUGGGGAGCAAACAGG